CUAUAUACUUUUAUGAGUAUUGACUCCCUUAUACUCAUAAGUUUUCGGUCCCUAGAUUUAUUCCAUUGAUAUAUCAUUUCCACCCGUUAGAUUAUACUAUUCAACCAACUAUCCACUCAAUCCUAGGGGACAAUUAUUAUUCUAAGUGGGGACCACCAUCAUCCUAACCACACAUCCCGUCAAUUAACGGUUAAAAAUUUAUGAGUACAAGGGGGUCUAUAUUAGCAUUAAAAGUAUAGUAGCCAGACUCUGCUACUAUAUUAUUGAUCGUAUCAAGCGUUUGGUGUUAUCAAGUUUUCGACUGUUGGAUGAAAGAAUAUGCUGUUAGGCUAAUAGUGGUUUCCAGUUAGGAUGAUAAUAAUCUCUUAGGAUUAAGUGGGUGGUUGAUUGAAUAGUAUAAACUGACGAAGGAAAUGAUCAAAAGGUAGAUCUAACGGCAUCGAUAGUAUCAAGAGUUUGGUACCGUCGAUAAUAUAGUAGCCGGACUCUCUCUCUAUGU
rnacentral:lncRNA from 1 species